rnacentral:rRNA from 1 species
GAGACUGCCGGUGUUAAACCGGAGGAAGGUGGGGAUGACGUCAAGUCCUCAUGGCCUUUAUGCUUAGGGCUACACACGUGCUACAAUGGGUGGUACAAAGAGAAGCCAACUCGCGAGAGCGCGCCAAUCUCAAAAAGCCAUCCUCAGUUCGGAUUGGAGUCUGCAACUCGACUCCAUGAAGUUGGAAUCGCUAGUAAUCGCGGAUCAGCAUGCCGCGGUGAAUACGUUCCCGGGCCUU